AAGCAAUUGAACGAAGGUGCUUAACUCAGGCUGAGGUACCCCGUUUGCGAUCGUGGGAUCUGAUUUUUGGGGCAGGGCACAAGCGGUGAGUAAAGUGGCUGCGCCGAGGCCACACAGCGUGUUGCUAAUGGCCUUCAACAUGUUUAACCGUCUCCUCAACCAACAGCUGCGCGUCUACCGAACAUUGCGCCAACUCACUC
rnacentral:rRNA from 1 species